AACCAGUACCUUUCUGAGAAGA
rnacentral:miRNA from 1 species